rnacentral:rRNA from 1 species
UACGGAGGGUGCAAGCGUUAUCCGGAUUCACUGGGUUUAAAGGGUGCGUAGGCGGGCAGGUAAGUCCGUGGUGAAAUCUCUGAGGCUUAACUCAGAAACUGCCAUGGAUACUAUUUGUCUUGAAUAUUGUGGAGGUAAGCGGAAUAUGUCAUGUAGCGGUGAAAUGCUUAGAUAUGACAUAGAACACCAAUUGCGAAGGCAGCUGGCUACACGAGCAUUGACACUCAGGCACGAAAGCGUGGGGAUCAAACAGG